rnacentral:rRNA from 1 species
GGGGAAAAAUUAAUAAAAAAAAAAUAAUAAAAAAAAUUUUAAUAUUUGAUAUUUUAAGGGGGUUAAAGUAUUUUGAUAGAAAAAAUUUUUAGAUUUAUAGGGAAGUAGUAAUGUGAAUGAAUUUUGAAAUAAAAUGAAAAUAAAAUUUGAAAAAAAGUAAUUUUAAUUUAAUGUAUCUUGUGCAUCAGAGUUUAUUAAUUAAUUAGUUGAAGUUUCAAUUUUCUCAAAUUAAAAAGAGUUAAUUAAGUAAUGAAAUUUAUUGUUUUAUAAAUAUAUGAAAUAAUUAAUUUGAAAUGAAAUGUUAAUCGUUUUUUAAGAUAUUUAGUUUUUUUAGAAAAAAAUUUAAUUUUAAAAUUAAUUUUUAAUUAAUUAUUAAUUAAAUAUAAAAAUAAUAUUAAUUUAAUUAAUUUAAAUAUUUUAAGGGAUAAGCUUUAUAAUAUAGUUUUAUAUUUCAUAAAUAAAAUUAAAAAAAUUUUUUUAAAAUUUGAAUUGUUUAUAAUAAUUUAAUUUGUUAUAAAUAAAAUUUAAUUAAAAAAAAUUUAAAAUAAAAUUAAUUUUUUAUAAAAAAAUAUAUUUAAAUUAAAAAAAUAUAAAUAUAAUGAUAAAAUUAGUAUAUUAUUAAAAUUUAUAUUUUAAUUUUAUUAGAGUUUAAUAAAAAGAAUUCGGCAAAAAUUUAUAUUCACCUGUUUAUCAAAAACAUGUCUUUUUGAAGUUAAUUUAAAGUCUAAUCUGCCCACUGAUUUAGAAUUAAAGGGCUGCAGUAUUUUGACUGUACAAAGGUAGCAUAAUAAUUAGUCUUUUAAUUGAUGACUGGAAUGAAUGAUUGGAUGAAAUAUAAACUGUUUCUUAUUAAAUUAAUAUAAUUUAAUUUUUUAAUUAAAAAGUUAAAAUAAAUUUAAAAGACGAGAAGACCCUAUAGAGUUUAAUAUAAUAUUUAUUUAGUAUAAAUAUUAUAUAAAAAUUAAUUAAAUUUAAUAUAAUAUUUUAUUGGGGUGAUAGAAAAAUUUAAAAAACUUUUUUUUUAUAAAUUAACAUAAAUAAUUGAUUAAAAUGAUCCAAAAUUUUUGAUUAUAAGAAAAAAUUACCUUAGGGAUAACAGCGUAAUUUUUUUUUCUAGUUCAUAUAGGAAAAAAAAGUUUGCGACCUCGAUGUUGGAUUAAGAUAAAAUUUAAAUGCAGAAGUUUAAAAUUUUGAUCUGUUCGAUCAUUAAAAUCUUACAUGAUCUGAGUUCAAACCGGUGUAAGCCAGGUUGGUUUCUAUCUUUAAAAAAUUAAAAUGUUUUAGUACGAAAGGAUUUUAUAUUUAAAAUAAUUUUAUUUAAUUGAAUAUUAUUAAUUGAAUUUAU